ACUUAGUGAUAGGGACAUUGCCUAAGUAAAUCUUUAAAUCGUUCCCAAGUCUCAUGAAAUUGUUCACCAUUAAGCUAGGAAAAAUUAGUGAUGGUUCACCUAAUCU